GAUGAACGCUGGCGGCGUGCUUAACACAUGCAAGUCGAACGAAGCACUUUAUUUGAUUUCCUUCGGGACUGAUUAUUUUGUGACUGAGUGGCGGACGGGUGAGUAACGCGUGGGUAACCUGCCUUGUACAGGGGGAUAACAGUUGGAAACGGCUGCUAAUACCGCAUAAGCGCACGGCAUCGCAUGAUGCAGUGUGAAAAGCUCCGGUGGUAUAAGAUGGACCCGCGUUGGAUUAGCUAGUUGGUGAGGUAACGGCCCACCAAGGCGACGAUCCAUAGCCGACCUGAGAGGGUGACCGGCCACAUUGGGACUGAGACACGGCCCAAACUCCUACGGGAGGCAGCAGUGGGGAAUAUUGCACAAUGGGCGAAAGCCUGAUGCAGCGACGCCGCGUGAGCGAAGAAGUAUUUCGGUAUGUAAAGCUCUAUCAGCAGGGAAGAUAAUGACGGUACCUGACUAAGAAGCACCGGCUAAAUACGUG
rnacentral:rRNA from 1 species